AAGCCUUGCUACUGGAUCAGCUUCCUCACAACUUCACCAGCCAUGGGCAGUUUUCUGAGGUGGAAGAUGGUUUAGACCAGGAGGACUCCGGAAUUGGAAAUCUAUGGCCUUCCAGAUACUGCUGUAUUACAGCUGCCAAAAUCUCUUAUCGUUGUCCAUGAUAACUAGGGUUGAUGGGAGCUGUAGUCCAACAAUGUCUAGAAGGCCACAGAUUCUCCAGCCCUGGUUUAAGUAGCAGCAGAAACUGUGAGUUAGAUACAUUCAGCUUUGAAUGUGGGAGGACUGAUGAGAGGCAGAUUUUUGGACAUGUGCAGUCUGCUGAAAUUCAAGGAUGCUAAAAGCCAACAAACACACAAUCUAUAUUUGGAAUUUGCCAAGGGUAGAGUUUCAUUUAAAGAAAGAACAAGGUUUCUCACGGUAUCCACUGUUCUCUGGAAGCCAGGGAAGAAUUUGCUCCUGACGCUCUGUGCAUAAAUGUAGCCUAUUUUCAGAGUGAUUUCUAUCAGUAGCUUUACCUCCCUACCCCCCAAUCCUGCAUUCAGUGGUGUCAGUGAAAAACAAAAUCUCAUACAAGUACUAUAAAUCUUGGAGACCUACUUUCCA